rnacentral:rRNA from 1 species
GGAAAUCUCACCAGGCCGGACACUGGAAGGAUUGACAGAUUGAUAGCUCUUUCUUCAGUGGGUGGUGGUGCAUGGCCGUUCUUAGUUGGUUGAGUGAUUUGUCUGGUUAAUUCCGUUAACGAACGAGACCUUAACCUGCUAAAUAGUGACGCGGUUCAUCGAACCGUGGGCCACUUCUUAGAGGGACUAUCGGAUUCAAACCGAUGGAAGUGUGAGGCAAUAA